AGUGAACGCUGGCGGGAGGCCUAACACAUGCAAGUCGAACGGCAGCACAGUAAGAGCUUGCUCUUACGGGUGGCGAGUGGCGGACGGGUGAGGAAUACAUCGGAAUCUACUUUUUCGUGGGGGAUAACGUAGGGAAACUUACGCUAAUACCGCAUACGACCUACGGGUGAAAGCAGGGGGUCUUCGGACCUUGCGCGAUUGAAUGAGCCGAUGUCGGCUUAGCUAGUUGGCGGGGUAAAGGCCCACCAAAGCGACGAUCAGUAGCUAGUAUGAGAGGAUGGUAAGACACACUGUGACUGAGAAACGGUACAAGCACUUUAGUGAGGGCGUAGUGGGGAAUAUUGGAAACACGGCGCAAGCCUGACACAGGCAGACCGCGUAGGUGAAGAAGGACUUGGUUAUGUAAAGUCCUUCUGUUGGGCAAGAAAAGAACCAGGUUAAUACCAAGCUGAUGUGACGGUACCCAAAGAAUAAGCACCGGCUAACUUCGCG
rnacentral:rRNA from 1 species